AAUUUACACGUACGUAAAGGAAAACGUAAAAAAAAGUCUUCGGCUGUGGAGCACAAAGGCACUUCCUUAUUAAUAGUCAGUGGUGGAGAUCAAACAUCAUGGAUGAACCUCAAACAUCUGGAGAUAAAGAUUUUUUUCCAGGAUGCAGCUCAGUUCAUCAGAAGAAAUCAGAAGCAGAGCCCAGCUGUGUGUCUAUGAAGAGUGACGUGUCUAUGAUUCAGCCAAUAAAGUU